GGGGUUGUGGCUCAGCGAUAGAGUGCUCACCUAGCACGUGUGGGGUGCUGGGUUCGAUCCUCAGCUCCACA
rnacentral:tRNA from 1 species